rnacentral:tRNA from 2 species
AGCGCAAGCAAAUUGGUCAAUCAUCUCGGACUCUGAAUCCGGGGACAGCGGUUCGAAUCCGCUCCGGGCUACCA